GAUGAACGCUAGCGGCAGGCUUAAUACAUGCAAGUCGAGGGGCAGCAGUUUUGUAGCAAUACAGAAGCUGGCGACCGGCAAACGGGUGCGGAACACGUACGCAACCUUCCUUUAACUGGAAGAUAGCCCACCGAAAGGUGGAUUAAUACUCCAUAACAUAUUGAAGAGGCAUCUCUUUGAUAUUAAAGCUCCGGCGGUUAAAGAUGGGCGUGCGUCUGAUUAGGUAGUUGGCGGGGUAACGGCCCACCAAGCCUUCGAUCAGUAGCUGAUGUGAGAGCAUGAUCAGCCACACGGGCACUGAGACACGGGGCCCGACUCCUACGGGAGGCAGCAGUAAGGAAUAUUGGGUCCAAUGGACGCAAGUCUGAACCAGCCAUGCCGCGUGGAGGAUGAAGGCCCUCUGGGUUGUAAACUUCUUUUCUUUGGGACGAAACCCCUGUUUCUACGGGGACUGACGGU
rnacentral:rRNA from 1 species